UUCCGGCCGGAGUAGCCAGCGGCGGCGGCGGGCGGAGCGCAUCGGCGAUGGACUCUCUAGCUCGUCCUUCUGUCUCCCGCCCACGGACUCGAGCCCGCCCGCCGCCGCCGCCGCCGCCGCCGGAGGCGCUGCCCACCGUCGGCUUCGAAGAGGAGCUGUACGAGUGCCUGGAUUACUACUACCUGCGUGACUUCCCGGCCUCUGGGGCUGGACGCAGCAAGGGCCGGACGCGGCGCGAGCAGCAGCUACGCACCAACUACCCGGUGCCCGGCGGCCACGAGCGCAAGGUGGCACAGAUACUGCUCAACGGGCAGCGCAAGCGGCGCCAGCGCCAGCUGCAACCGCGGCCGCGCACACGCCUGGCCUGAGCACACGCCACGCCUGAGCGGGAACCUGAGACAGGAGGAUCUUGAGUUGCUUGAGUUGGAGUCCCGCCUGGGCAUUAUUGAAACCUGAAAGACCUGUUAAAAAGUAUUUUCCAGCUGUAACCGAGAUCCUCCGUGCUAGUCAACUGGACUUUUUGACAGGGUUUUAAGUUUUACUGCUCUAGUGUUUUUCCUCACUAAUUAAUUAUUAAGUAAGUAGUUUCCUAGUGGGUAUGCCCUUUUAGGGUUUUCCAAUUAAAAGAGAACAGCAAGAAUGUA